AACCUUUACACUGCACGCCAGUGCGAUAAGGGGACUCCAAGUGCGAGGGCAUAUAGUCCUCGCUUUUCUGGACCGUAAGGAGGUCCAGGAACAAGGGCUGGGCAAGACCGGUGCCAGCCGCCGCGGUAAUACCGGCAGCCCAAGUGAUGGCCGCUCUUAUUGGGCCUAAAGCGUCCGUAGCUGGCCAGGCAAGUCCGUCGGGAAAUCCGCGUGCCCAACACGCGGGCGUCCGGUGGAAACUGCCUGGCUUGGGACCGGAAGACCAGAGGGGUACGUCCGGGGUAGGAGUGAAAUCCCGUAAUCCUGGACGGACCGCCGAUGGCGAAAGCACGUCGCGAGAACGGAUCCGACAGUGAGGGACGAAAGCUAGGGUCUCGAACCGGAUUAGAUACCCGGGUAGUCCUAGCCGUAAACAAUGCCUGCUAGGUGUGGCUCCCACUACGAGUGGGUGCUGUGCCGUAGGGAAGCCGCUAAGCAGGCCGCCUGGGAAGUACGUCCGCAAGGAUGAAACUUAA
rnacentral:rRNA from 1 species